GAACGACUCUCGGCAACGGAUAUCUCGGCUCAUGCAUCGAUGAAGAACGUAGCGAAAUGCGAUACUUGGUGUGAAUUGCAGAAUCCCGUGAACCAUCGAGUCUUUGAACGCAAGUUGCGCCCGAAGCCAUUAGGCCGAGGGCACGCCUGCCUGGGUGUCACAC
rnacentral:rRNA from 1 species